rnacentral:rRNA from 1 species
UACGUAGGCACCAAGCGUUGUCCGGAUUUAUUGGGCGUAAAGAGCUCGUAGGCGGUUCGGUAAGUCGGGUGUGAAAACUCUGGGCUCAACCCAGAGCCGCCACCCGAUACUGCUGUGACUUGAGUGCGGUAGGGGAGCGGGGAAUUCCUGGUGUAGCGGUGAAAAUGCGCAGAUAUUAGGAGGAACACCGGUGGCGAAGGCGCCACUCUGGGCCGAAACUGACGCUGAGGAGCGAAAAGCGUGGGUAGCAAACAGG